rnacentral:rRNA from 1 species
UACGUGAAAUUGUCGAAAGGGAAGCGCUUGAAGUCAGCCAUGCUGCUUGAGACUCAGCCUUGCUUUUGCUUGGUGUAUUUCUCGGUAGCAAGCCAGCAUUGGUUCGAGUCGUCGGAGAAGGGUAAUGAGAAAUGUGGCAUCCUCGGAUGUGUUAUAGACUUGUACUGGAUACGACGAUUUGGAUCAAGGAACGCAGUGUGCCU